UACGAAGGGGCUAGCGUUGCUCGGAAUCACUGGGCGUAAAGGGUGCGUAGGCGGGUCUUUAAGUCAGGGGUGAAAUCCUGGAGCUCAACUCCAGAACUGCCUUUGAUACUGAGGAUCUUGAGUUCGGGAGAGGUGAGUGGAACUGCGAGUGUAGAGGUGAAAUUCGUAGAUAUUCGCAAGAACACCAGUGGCGAAGGCGGCUCACUGGCCCGAUACUGACGCUGAGGCACGAAAGCGUGGGGA
rnacentral:rRNA from 1 species